AAAUACCCUGUGUUAGUGCAUGUAUGCCUUGAGGGGGUAGUAGCCGGCCCAGGCCGAAAAGGCCUCUCGAGAUGCGAGGAACAUGUGCUCCAGUGCGUAUUUAUGUAUGUUUUCGCGGGAAGCCUUCGUUGCAAAAAGGAAACAUAUAUAGCUGGCAAGCAAUGAAAACAGGGCCGGGUGUGGGUGCACUCCCCCGAAGCGACAACUAGGCCUGCAGACCAACUGCUUCAGGGCGGUAGUACCCAAACACCCGAAGUAACCAGCACAACCACGCACGCAAGUCCAUGCAAAUCGUACAGCGGCACUCCCAAUUCACAGGAAACCUUAGUUUUCUCGACGCUUCGCUUACAAAGCUAUGAGAUUGUGUGAAGAAGGGGGCAAUAGCUUCAUCCGUGGCCACCACUAGCCUGGCAGUGUUUACCUUCCCGGGUGUGUUUGGGUGCACCCUCAUGCUUCUGACCCAUGCCGACUUCUGAAACGUCAGUGGCAUUUUCGGGUCCAGCACGCACCAUCAGCACAUCCGGUGGAAUCUGUGCCUGGAAUCAACGGCGGCAGCAGCAAGUUACCACUCCGGGUCGGCUUUUGCAGGUGUGUCACUACACCAGUGGUUCCAUCAUCUCGGCCAUCAGCAAUGGAAUCGAUUGGCAUCCAUCCGCCUCUUCUGUUCAGAAUCUGUCCCGGGAUCACUUCCAAACAGCCUUCCCGGGACAGCACACUCUGUACCUUCCUUCCUUAUCACCUUCCCCAGCAUAAAGCCUGUCGUGUUUCAAUGGGUUGAGUGCACGUGCACACAGUAAUAGUUCUGUCCGUUGGAGUCGGAGGGCAUCGAUCCCCCUACCUCCCACACAUCAUCUGCGGCGCUCAGCAUCGCAUGCUAAGCGGGCGCUUUACCAUUUGAGCUACGACCCCUGCACAUCCUCACCACUCUGCGCUCGAUGACGGGAUCGAACCGUCGACCUUACGGUUAACAGCCGUGCGCUCUACCGACUGAGCUAACCGAGCAGGUCUGGCAGAUGGAUGUACGACAGCACCAAGCAUACGCCACAUGCCGUACUGUACGACUGCUACGGCUGAACUGAACCUUUGCACCGUGCCGUACGACAAAAGAACAGAAAAAAUGCGAUGCGAUUAGGUUGAUACAACCUACUGCAUACCAAGGUGCAGGUAAUGCGUCAGCAACCAGCUGCAAACAGGGCUCUAUCGAUGUAUUGUUCGGGUCCGUGCCGUCAGUGCACACCAGCAUAACACAUAAGAAAUGGGGACCUGCAAUUCAUUCAUGCAAAAAAUGUAAUAAUGUAGCUGGCCGCUCGUCGCUGGCCGCCGAUUGGAAUGCUGGAAUAAAAAAAUACCCUGUGUUCGUGCAUGUAUGCCUUGAGGGGGUAGUAGCCGGCCCAGGCCAAAAAGGCCUCUCGAGAUGCGAGGAACAUGUGCUCCAGUGCGUAUUCAUGUAUGUUUUCGCGGGAAGCCUUCGUUGCAAAAAGGAAACAUAUGUAGCUGGCAAGCAAUGAAAACAGGGCCCGGGUGUGGGUGCACUCCCCCGAAGCGACAACUAGGGCCUGCAGACCAACUACUUCAGGGCGGUAGUACCCAAACACCGGAAGUAACCAGCACAACCACGCACGCAAGUCCAUGCAAAUCGUACAGCGGCACUCCCAAUUCACAGGAAACUAUAGUUUUCUGGACGCUUCGCUUACAAAGCUAUGAGAUUGUGUGAAGAAGGGGGCAAUAGCUUCAUCCGUGGCCACCACUAGCCUGGCAGUGUUUACCUUCCCGGGUGUGUUUGGGUGCACCCUCAUGCUUCUGACCCAUGCCGACUUCUGAAACGUCAGUGGCAUUUUCGGGUCCAGCACGCACCAUCAGCACAUCCGGUGGAAUCUGUGCCUGGAAUCAACGGCGGCAGCAGCAAGUUACCACUCCGGGUCGGCUUUUGCAGGUGUGUCGCUACACCAGUGGUUCCAUCAUCUCGGCCAUCAGCAAUGGAAUCGAUUGGCAUCCAUCCAGCCUCUUCUGUUCAAGAAUCUGUCCCGGGAUCACUUCCAAAAGAGCCUUCCCGGGACAGCACACUCUGUACCUUCCUUCCUUAUCACCUUCCCCAGCAUAAAGCCUGUCGUGUUUCAAUGGGUUGAGUGCACGUGCACACAGUAAUAGUUCUGUCCGUUGGAGUCGGAGGGCAUCGAUCCCCCUACCUCCCGCACAUCAUCUGCGGCGCUCAGCAUCGCAUGCUAAGUGGGCGCUCUACCAUUUGAGCUACGACCCCUGCACAUCCUCACCUCUCUGCGCUCGAUGACGGGAUCGAACCGUCGACCUUACGGUUAACAGCCGUGCGCUCUACCGACUGAGCUAACCAGAGCAG
rnacentral:lncRNA from 1 species